rnacentral:rRNA from 1 species
UACGGAGGGGACUAGCGUUGUUCGGAAUUACUGGGCGUAAAGCGCGCGCAGGCGGUCCCUUAAGUCUGAUGUGAAAGCCCACGGCUCAACCGUGGAGGGUCAUUGGAAACUGGGGGACUUGAGUACAGAAGAGGAAAGCGGAAUUCCACGUGUAGCGGUGAAAUGCGUAGAGAUGUGGAGGAACACCAGUGGCGAAGGCGGCUUUCUGGUCUGUAACUGACGCUGAGGCGCGAAAGCGUGGGGAGCAAACAGG